AACGCGAAGAACCUUACCCAGGUUUGAAAUACAGGAGACGGUAGCAGAAAUGUUACUUUCCGCAAGGACUGCUGUACAGGUGCUGCAUGGCUGUCGUCAGCUCGUGCCGUGAGGUGUUGGGUUAAGUCCCGCAACGAGCGCAACCCUUAUCAUUAGUUGCCAACGCGUAAUGGCGGGAACUCUAAUGAGACUGCCUAGGUUAACUAGGAGGAAGGUGAGGAUGACGUCAAGUCCGCAUGGCCUUUAUAUCUGGGGCUACACACGUGCUACAAUGGUCGGUACAGAAGGCAGCGAAGUCGCAAGAUGGAGCAAAUCCCCCAAAGCCGGCCUCAGUUCAGAUUGUAGUCUGCAACUCGACUACAUGAAGUUGGAAUUGCUAGUAAUGGCGUGUCAGCAACAACGCCGUGAAUACGUUCCCGGGCCUUGUACACACCGAUACUC
rnacentral:rRNA from 1 species